rnacentral:tmRNA from 1 species
GGGGCUGACGUGGAUUUGACAGCUUGGCAAAGUGGUGUGUAAGCAUGUCGAGCGUUGUGGUACCGGCUCGUAAAACCCGGAUCUCAAACUUUUUAAUUGGCGAAAAUAAUUUUGCUCUUGCUGCUUAAUCGAAUCAUAGUAGAUUAGCUUUAUUUCAGUACGAGGUACAGAAACAAGACAUCUCACGAAUGCUAAUGUUUUGAGGCGGUUCGUAUUAGAGAUGCUGGAAAAUCGAAACUAGGAAAAUAUAAGCCUUGGGUUUUUUCCGAAAUUUAAGAGGAUAAGGUAAUAAUCGGUGGCUUUGAUCCAGUUAUUACUCGAAAAAUAAGUCAUAGCUAAACAUGUAGAAAGCGCAUAGCUUCCUUGUCUGGACCGGGGUUCGAUCCCCCGCAGCUCCACAA